rnacentral:rRNA from 1 species
CCCUUUGGGGUGUGACUGCGUACCUUUUGUAUAAUGGGUCAGCGACUUAUAUUCUGUAGCAAGGUUAACCGAAUAGGGGAGCCGGAGGGAAACCGAGUCUUAAUUGGGCGUUAAGUUGCAGGGUAUAGACCCGAAACCCGGUGAUCUAGCCAUGGGCAGGUUGAAGGUUGGGUAACACUAACUGGAGGACCGAACCGACUAAUGUUGAAAAAUUAGCGGAUGACCUGUGGCUGGGGGUGAAAGGCCAAUCAAACCGGGAGAUAGCUGGUUCUCCCCGAAAGCUAUUUAGGUAGCGCCUCGUGAAUUCAUCUCCGGGGGUAGAGCACUGUUUCGGCUAGGGGGCCAUCCCGGCUUACCAACCCGAUGCAAACUGCGAAUACCGGAGAAUGUUAUCACGGGAGACACACGGCGGGUGCUAACGUCCGUCGUGAAGAGGGAAACAACCCAGACCGCCAGCUAAGGUCCCAAAGUCAUGGUUAAGUGGGAAACGAUGUGGGAAGGCCCAGACAGCCAGGAUGUUGGCUUAGAAGCAGCCAUCAUUUAAAGAAAGCGUAAUAGCUCACUGGUCGAGUCGGCCUGCGCGGAAGAUGUAACGGGGCUAAACCAUGCACCGAAGCUGCGGCAGCGACGCUGAUGCGUUGUUGGGUAGGGGAGCGUUCUGUAAGCCUGUGAAGGUGGCCUGUGAGGGUUGCUGGAGGUAUCAGAAGUGCGAAUGCUGACAUAAGUAACGAUAAAGCGGGUGAAAAGCCCGCUCGCCGGAAGACCAAGGGUUCCUGUCCAACGUUAAUCGGGGCAGGGUGAGUCGACCCCUAAGGCGAGGCCGAAAGGCGUAGUCGAUGGGAAACGGGUUAAUAUUCCCGUACUUGGUGUUACUGCGAAGGGGGGACGGAGAAGGCUAUGUUGGCCGGGCGACGGUUGUCCCGGUUUAAGCGUGUAGGUGUGUGUUCCAGGUAAAUCCGGUUCACUUUAACACUGAGGCGUGACGACGAGGCACUACGGUGCUGAAGCAACAAAUGCCCUGCUUCCAGGAAAAGCCUCUAAGCAUCAGGUAACAUCAAAUCGUACCCCAAACCGACACAGGUGGUCAGGUAGAGAAUACCAAGGCGCUUGAGAGAACUCGGGUGAAGGAACUAGGCAAAAUGGUGCCGUAACU